GAGGGGGACAACAGCUGGAAACGACUGCUAAUACCGCAUAAGCCCACAGCUCGGCAUCGAGCAGAGGGAAAAGGAGCAAUCCGCUUUGAGAUGGCCUCGCGUCCGAUUAGCCAGUUGGCAGGGUAACGGCCUACCAAAGCGACGAUCAGUAGCCGAUCUGAGAGGAUGUACGGCCACAUUGGAACUGAGACACGGUCCAAACUCCUACGGGAGGCAGCAGUGAGGAAUAUUGGUCAACCGGACGAGAGGCUGAACCAGCCAAGUAGCGUGAAGGAUGACUGCCCUAUGGGUUGUAAACUUCUUUUAUACGGGAAUAAAGUGAGGCACGUGUGCCUUUUUGUAUGUACCGUAUGAAUAAGGAUCGGCUAACUCCGUGCCAGCAGCCGCGGUAAUACGGAGGAUCCGAGCGUUAUCCGGAUUUAUUGGGUUAAAGGGAGCGUAGGCGGACGCUUAAGUCAGUUGUGAAAGUUUGCGGCUCAACCGUAAAAUUGCAGUUGAUACUGGGUGUCUUGAGUACAGUAGAGGCAGGCGGAAUUCGUGGUGUAGCGGUGAAAUGCUUAGAUAUCACGAAGAACUCCGAUUGCGAAGGCAGUCUGCUGGACUGUAACUGACGCUGAUGCUCGAAAGUGUGGGUAUCAAACAGGAUUAGAUACCCUGGUAGUCCACACAGUAAACGAUGAAUACUCGCUGUUUGCGAUAUACAGUAAGCGGCCAAGCGAAAGCGUUAAGUAUUCCACCUGGGGAGUACGCCGGCAACGGUGAAACUCAAAGGAAUUGACGGGGGCCCGCACAAGCGGAGGAACAUGUGGUUUAAUUCGAAGCAACGCGAAGAACCUUACCAAGUCUUGACAUCCCACUGACAAAGUAUGUAAUGUACUUUCUCUUCGGAGCAGUGGUGACAGGUGGUGCAUGGUUGUCGUCAGCUCGUGUCGUGAGAUGUUGGGUUAAGUCCCGCAACGAGCGCAACCCCUAUUCUUAGUAGCCAGCGGUUCGGCCGGGCACUCUAGGGAGACUGCCAGGGAUAACCUGGAGGAAGGUGGGGAUGACGUCAAAUCAUCAUGCCCCUUAUGACUUGGGCUACACACGUGCUACAAUGGCGUAAACAAAGGGAAGCAAUCCCGCGAGGGGGAGCAAAUCUCAAAAAUAACGUCUCAGUUCGGACUGUAGUCUGCAACUCGACUACACGAAGCUGGAAUCGAUAGUAAUCGCGAAUCAGAAUGUCGCGGUGAAU
rnacentral:rRNA from 1 species